rnacentral:lncRNA from 1 species
GCACAGGUUCCUCAGGCACAAGACUCUGCAGGCUAUUUUGGUUGGUCCUGCCAUGAAGAUUGGUUGUAGGAGUGCUGUUCCCUCUGAGAGAGCGAGUUGCUGAGGACUUGGACAUUGUUCUUGUGAUAUGGUAUCAGGAACAAUCUGGAGACAAAGGCACAGGGGUCAGGCAGUGCUACAGCAUGCAAGUCAGCAGCCAGCUCUGUGCUGAGGAGACUCUUACCAUUCACUAAAUAUUGACUGAGAAAGGUACUGUUGUGCAGCAACAUUUUGGGUGUUCAGCACUUAGUUGAGGUGGUGUGCACAGGAGUUUUAGCCUCCCAGCUCUGGG